UUCCUUCUCAUUGCCCUAGAAAAUAGCAGUGUUGCUAAAGAAUGCAGCCUCCAUGUAGCAAAGACAUGACUGGCUGAAAUAUUCAUCAAGACCUCCUCUCUGGAUUAAGGAGGGUUUUUUUGUUGCUGUAAUUGGUUCAGUAUUUGACAGCUAAAAUUCAAAUAGAAGCUUAAGAGCUUAAACAACGAAACGUGAGGAUGUGUUGGCAUGGAUGGGCCAUCUUGCUUCUUCCUUGAGCACACGUGGAGCUCUGCUUGGCAUUAACCUGCGGAGAAAAUCUAGGCCUCCGCAUUAAAAGGUAAUCGAAUGAGUUAAUGCAUCAGUGGUCCUCCCUGAGGCUGGGGUCAGAGAGGGGUCUCCAAAGGCAAAGCCACCUGUGGUGUCAUGGUUGCACACCCUCGUUCCAGCUGCACAGCGUUGCUGGAAAAUAAUUGUAGGUAACUGCCCAGCACUUGGAGAAGCUCUUUGCUAUUCAGCAUCUGCAGUCAGUUGCUGUCUGCUCCUUUGCUUGAGCGAGUCUGAAUCCCAAUGAAUCCUUGCUGUCCUCUGCCUCUGCCUUCGUCUCUCUCGUUUGAUCUCCGUCACUCUUGGCUGCCUCUUAUCCUUCUCUGUCAGUUGUAGCAGCUCUUUUUCUCUCCCUCAAUGUGUUGUUCUCUCUUCCCAGCUCGUAUCACAGAGCAAGUUUCCAAAGCAAUAAGCUCGCAUCCCACCUCUUCCUUGGUUGCUUCCCUUCUUGUAGGUAGGUAGUGUAAGAAGCCGUCGUUGACCAAGAAGCCAAACAAGACCCACAAAUAGAUUGCUUUCUGGCAAAAGUGACUUUUUCUGUCCACCAUGGAAACAGUUGCCCACAGGGUUCUUGUGUUACCGGGGAAUAGGGGCCAUUUAAAACCAGGAUGGUGAAGUGAAGCUCAGAUCAAGUCCCUGCUGGGCACUGCCUAUUUUAUACCCUUUCCCUUCCUAUUAGUGCCACAAAAGAAAUGAGGAUUCUUCAUUUGAGGAAGGGCAACUCUUUCCAGGUUUCUGGAUCAGAUCCUCUGCUGGUGUAAAUAAAGUACUAGACUGCUUCACUCAAGCUGCAGCAAGUGAAAAAUACUUUUUCUGAAGCAUCUUCCUGCUUGUGUUGUUUUUUUCUGUCUUCCUCCAAAUGUCAUCACUAAAAUCCAGAUAUGCAACUUGCCACACUUUUUCCCUUCCAGUCAGAGAGGGAGAAGUAGCUGGCAAGAUAGCUGAGAAACAGCAGAUACAGCCAAAACCGUUACACUUAAGUUCUUAUAAAUAAGGUGCCUCUGACCACGCAGCAAGGAACCUUCAAAGAUGUGGGACCUGUGGACCCAGCAGCUUGGGAACAUGCCAGAUCUAGCUAGAAGGAAUGUAUUUAAAGCACAGCUCUGCAGCUGGUGUACAUGGCUCUGCUGAAGUCCAAACGUCCCUGCUAAGCCCAGUGUCCUGGGUGCAUUGCUGCAGGUAUGACGGCGUGAGCGUUACAACCGUAGCCUAAGGAACGGAGAAUGAAAGGACCUGAGCUGAUGAGGUGGUUCUUAAAUAUUCCCGUGGCUGUUCGGCAGCCCUAGCUGUCAGGAAUAGCUGAUGUAUUUGAAGAAGAUGAGUUGUGACUGUAACAUGGAGGGAAGAAAUGGUGUGUAACUGCUGUUUUCUGCCUGAUGGAGAGUGACUGCAUUUUCUGGUGUAUCUCUACAACUUCGCAGUCCAUGUCCAGGCAUUUAGAGGUUGCUUAGGAAUUGCACUGCCCAGCGUUGCCGGCCUUAGGCGAGUUAGGAGCCUUGUUUCCACGUUCAAGUAUGAGCUGUAGUCUUACUGAAAACCAGUGGGACUUCAUCUCCUACCCACCUAAAUAGUGAAAGGAAAUGGAUUCGUGGCUCCUAGGCUAUGCAGGUACACUGCUGAAAAAAGUACUGAAGUGCACCAGCAAAGAGGGGCAGCAUGUACAGCAGACUCUCCUCUGUAAGGUUGGAGCAGCAAAUAAAAAGUAUUUUCUCUGUCCA